UAUACACUAGAUAGCGCAUCUCGGAAUACAAAACUGAAGCCAAAAAUCUCAGCGGUAUCCCCCAUGAAAAUAGGCGGCGGCCAUAUUGGUCGUUCCCACUCAUCAAUGAAAUGCUAUAGAAAAUACUAUACUUUUCGAGGCUUUUUUUGCAUUUCUGGAUUAAAAAUACCUUUUUGAGGUACGUUCGCCUUGAAAUCGCAGCUUUUUUGGAAAAGGGUACAAGAAAAAAACAUUAAUUGGCGAUGUUGUUGUCUUUGAAUCGCAUUUUAAAGCUAAAAAUUUCGAAUUACGACAUUGGCUUUAUAUACUUGUUUUGAAUCUGUGAGUGAUUCUCUGGUGAAGUAUCGUCUAAUCAAUACAUUACUUAUGGUUUCUGGCACCACUUUAUGGAAAUGGAGUUGGUAAGUAACGUUUCAACUAUCGGCGUAGGCAGUUUAUACUGUAAAAAAACAGAGUCUACACUUUCAGUUUGGGCAGUUUUCACUGUAAAUCUUUAGUGAAAUGUUUGAGACAGUCUGAGUCUGCACUUUCAGCUUGGGUAGUUUUCACUAUAAAUUUUUAGUGAAACGUUUGAGACAGAGUUUGCACUUUCAGCUUGGGCAGUUAUCACUAUAAAUCUUUAGUAAAAUUAUGUUUGAGGCAGAGUCUGCACUUUCAGCUUGGGCAGUUUCAUAGUAAAUUUUAGUAAUAUUUAGCUUUCUCUGAUACAUUCUGUGUAAUCACUCACACUGGUGCUUACAGUAAAAGGUACAAGUUUAUUUAAUUUCUUUUUAAUUUUUUGUCCAGAUGAAUUCUCAGUGGUCUUUUUUCCAAGAUGGUAAAAUUUAACCUCACAGUAACUCUUGAUGAUGCUCUUGGUUAACUGAAAUAUAACAUAUUUUCACCAACUGGUGAGUUAAAAAUAUGGUGAUCUAGCUCAGUAAAAAGAUUGUGUAUGGACAAUGAAGCCAGAACAUAUGGACAAUGAACAAUGAAGCCAGAACAGAAGUGGUCAGAGC